GACGAACGCUGGCGGCGUGCCUAAUACAUGCAAGUCGAACGCAUUUUCUUUCACCGUAGCUUGCUACACCGAAAGAAAAUGAGUGGCGAACGGGUGAGUAACACGUGGGUAACCUUCCCAUCAGCGGGGGAUAACACUUGGAAACAGGUGCUAAUACCGCAUAAUUCCAUUUACCGCAUGGUAGAUGGGUGAAAGGCGCUUUUGCGUCACUGAUGGAUGGACCCGCGGUGCAUUAGCUAGUUGGUGGGGUAACGGCCUACCAAGGCUGCGAUGCAUAGCCGACCUGAGAGGGUGAUCGGCCACACUGGGACUGAGACACGGCCCAGACUCCUACGGGAGGCAGCAGUAGGGAAUCUUCGGCAAUGGACGCAAGUCUGACCGAGCAACGCCGCGUGAGUGAAGAAGGUUUUCGGAUCGUAAAACUCUGUUGUUAGAGAAGAACAAGGAUGAGAGUGGAAAGUUCAUCCCUUGACGGUAUCUAACCAGAAAGCCACGGCUAACUACGUG
rnacentral:rRNA from 1 species